AUUGAACGCUGGCGGCAGGCCUAACACAUGCAAGUCGAGCGAGCGGCGGACGGGUGAGUAAUGUAUGGGGACUGCCCGAUAGAGGGGGAUAACUACUGGAAACGGUGGCUAAUACCGCAUACUAUCGGAUAACCCAUAUUGGAUUAGCUAGUAGGUGGGGUAAAGGCGCACCUUGGCGACGAUCUCUAGCUGGUCUGAGAGGAUGAUCAGCAACACUGGGACGGAGACACGGCCCAGACUCCUACGGAGGCAGCAGGGGGGAAUAUUGCGCAAUGGGCGCAAGCCUGAUGCAGCCAUGGCGCGUGUAUGAAGAAGGCCUUAGGGUUGUAAAGUACUUUCAGCGGGGAGGCGUUACCCGAAGAAGAAGCAACGGCUAACUCCGUGCCAGCCGCCGCGGUAAUAC
rnacentral:rRNA from 1 species